rnacentral:rRNA from 1 species
AGCGUCGUUUGCGACGCCCAACACACAAAACAAGCGGUGAGUGCUUUGGGGUGGGGUGACUGCGUACCUUUUGUAUAAUGGGUCAGCGACUUAUAUUCUGUAGCAAGGUUAACCGUAUAGGGGAGCCGGAGGGAAACCGAGUCUUAACCGGGCGUUAAGUUGCAGGGUAUAGACCCGAAACCCGGUGAUCUAGCCAUGGGCAGGUUGAAGGUUGGGUAACACUAACUGGAGGACCGAACCGACUAAUGUUGAAAAAUUAGCGGAUGACCUGUGGCUGGGGGUGAAAGGCCAAUCAAACCGGGAGAUAGCUGGUUCUCCCCGAAAGCUAUUUAGGUAGCGCCUCGUGAAUUCAUCUCCGGGGGUAGAGCACUGUUUCGGCUAGGGGGCCAUCCCGGCUUACCAACCCGAUGCAAACUGCGAAUACCGGAGAAUGUUAUCACGGGAGACACACGGCGGGUGCUAACGUCCGUCGUGAAGAGGGAAACAACCCAGACCGCCAGCUAAGGUCCCAAAGUCAUGGUUAAGUGGGAAACGAUGUGGGAAGGCCCAGACAGCCAGGAUGUUGGCUUAGAAGCAGCCAUCAUUUAAAGAAAGCGUAAUAGCUCACUGGUCGAGUCGGCCUGCGCGGAAGAUGUAACGGGGCUAAACCAUGCACCGAAGCUGCGGCAGCGACACUAUGUGUUGUUGGGUAGGGGAGCGUUCUGUAAGCCUGUGAAGGUGGCCUGUGAGGGUUGCUGGAGGUAUCAGAAGUGCGAAUGCUGACAUAAGUAACGAUAAAGCGGGUGAAAAGCCCGCUCGCCGGAAGACCAAGGGUUCCUGUCCAACGUUAAUCGGGGCAGGGUGAGUCGACCCCUAAGGCGAGGCCGAAAGGCGUAGUCGAUGGGAAACGGGUUAAUAUUCCCGUACUUGGUGUUACUGCGAAGGGGGGACGGAGAAGGCUAUGUUGGCCGGGCGACGGUUGUCCCGGUUUAAGCGUGUAGGUGUGUGUUCCAGGUAAAUCCGGUUCACUUUAACACUGAGGCGUGAUGACGAGGCACUACGGUGCUGAAGCAACAAAUGCCCUGCUUCCAGGAAAAGCCUCUAAGCAUCAGGUAACAUUAAAUCGUACCCCAAACCGACACAGGUGGUCAGGUAGAGAAUACCAAGGCGCUUGAGAGAACUCGGGUGAAGGAACUAGGCAAAAUGGUGCCGUAACUUCGGGAGAAGGCACGCUGACAUGUAGGUGAAGUGAUUUACUCAUGGAGCUGAAGUCAGUCGAAGAUACCAGCUGGCUGCAACUGUUUAUUAAAAACACAGCACUGUGCAAACACGAAAGUGGACGUAUACGGUGUGACGCCUGCCCGGUGCCGGAAGGUUAAUUGAUGGGGUCAGCGCAAGCGAAGCUCCUGAUCGAAGCCCCGGUAAACGGCGGCCGUAACUAUAACGGUCCUAAGGUAGCGAAAUUCCUUGUCGGGUAAGUUCCGACCUGCACGAAUGGCGUAAUGAUGGCCAGGCUGUCUCCACCCGAGACUCAGUGAAAUUGAACUCGCUGUGAAGAUGCAGUGUACCCGCGGCAAGACGGAAAGACCCCGUGAACCUUUACUAUAGCUUGACACUGAACAUUGAGCCUUGAUGUGUAGGAUAGGUGGGAGGCUUUGAAGUGUGGACGCCAGUCUGCAUGGAGCCGACCUUGAAAUACCACCCUUUAAUGUUUGAUGUUCUAACGUGGACCCGUAAUCCGGGUUGCGGACAGUGUCUGGUGGGUAGUUUGACUGGGGCGGUCUCCUCCUAAAGAGUAACGGAGGAGCACGAAGGUUGGCUAAUCCUGGUCGGACAUCAGGAGGUUAGUGCAAUGGCAUAAGCCAGCUUGACUGCGAGCGUGACGGCGCGAGCAGGUGCGAAAGCAGGUCAUAGUGAUCCGGUGGUUCUGAAUGGAAGGGCCAUCGCUCAACGGAUAAAAGGUACUCCGGGGAUAACAGGCUGAUACCGCCCAAGAGUUCAUAUCGACGGCGGUGUUUGGCACCUCGAUGUCGGCUCAUCACAUCCUGGGGCUGAAGUAGGUCCCAAGGGUAUGGCUGUUCGCCAUUUAAAGUGGUACGCGAGCUGGGUUUAGAACGUCGUGAGACAGUUCGGUCCCUAUCUGCCGUGGGCGCUGGAGAACUGAGGGGGGCUGCUCCUAGUACGAGAGGACCGGAGUGGACGCAUCACUGGUGUUCGGGUUGUCAUGCCAAUGGCACUGCCCGGUAGCUAAAUGCGGAAGAGAUAAGUGCUGAAAGCAUCUAAGCACGAAACUUGCCCCGAGAUGAGUUCUCCCUGAGACUUUAGGUCUCCUGAAGGAACGUUGAAGACGACGACGUUGAUAGGCCGGGUGUGUAAGCGCAGCGAUGCGUUGAGCUAACCGGUACUAAUGAACCGUGAGGCUUAACCUUACAACGCCGAAG